rnacentral:lncRNA from 1 species
AUACAUAAAUCGAUGGAAAAUACAUAGAUCUUAGGAUUUUAACUACCAAAUCAAAACCCCCAUCAUCAAUUUACAAAAGAAAUAAAACUUAAGAGAGAGAAAAUUUAUACCUUGCUUUUCUUCCUCAUCUUCUUCUUCUCUUCCAUGGAGAUUUCCUCCAUCUUUCCCCCAUGAAGGGCUGCCACCCCUGUCUUCUUCUUUCCCUCUCCUUCUCGGUUUCUCUCUUCUCUCUUUCUUCUCCCGUUCUUUCUCUUUCUCUU